rnacentral:tRNA from 1 species
GCAGCGAUGGCCGAGUGGUUAAGGCGUUGGAUUUAAGUUCCAAUGGACAAUAAGUCCUCGUGGGUUCAAACCCCACUCGCUGCA